rnacentral:rRNA from 1 species
GUGCCAGCAGCCGCGGUAAUACGUAGGGUCCGAGCGUUGUCCGGAGUUACUGGGCGUAAAGGGCGCGCAGGUGGCGGUGUUGGCCCGGCGUGAAAGCCCCCGGCUCAACCGGGGAGGGUCGUCGGGGACCGCACCGCUUGAGGGCGGUAGGGGCUGGUGGAAUGCCUGGUGUAGUGGUGAAAUGCGUAGAGAUCAGGCGGAACACCCGUAGCGAAGGCGGCCAGCUGGGCCGUCCCUGACACUGAGGCGCGAAGGCGUGGGGAGCGAACGGGAUUAGAUACCCCCGUAGUCC